CAGUCGCCGCGGUAAUACGAAGGGGGCUAGCGUUGUUCGGAUUUACUGGGCGUAAAGGGCGCGUAGGCGGACUGAUCAGUCAGACGUGAAAUUCCUGGGCUCAACCUGGGGGCUGCGUUUGAGACGGUUGAUCUAGAGUUUGGAAGAGGGUCGUGGAAUUCCCAGUGUAGAGGUGAAAUUCGCAGAUAUUGGGAAGAACACCGGUGGCGAAGGCGGCGACCUGGUCCUUGACUGACGCUGAGGCGCGAAAGCGUGAGGAGCAAACAGGAUUAGAUACCCCCGUAGUCCCUGUCUCUUAUAC
rnacentral:rRNA from 1 species